ACUUGAAGAUGUUGUGAAUGUGAAAUUGAUGCGGAUAGAUUUGGUAAUAAUCGUCAGGGCUGCAGUGUGGAGCUUGCCUGCAGCUUAGUGUAAACAGGGCAUACAGUUGCUCUCAAACUGUACGAACCGGUUAACAGCUAAAGUGCAGCACUUACACUACGCUGUUACCUUUGAUUUAUAAAACGUUCAACGUUCAAUUUGAUUGAAUAAAACCACAAGGCAGAUUGGAAUUAAGGAAGAUCACCAAUGAUAGCCAACAAAUUUAAAAAUAAAACGGUAUAUGUAUGUACAUAUGUACGUGUCGUGGUGCUGCACCUACGUUUACAUAUGAAUUUAUGUAUAAAAAAAAAAUGUACAAUUAGCUGUUUUUAAAUCUAACAAUUAAAAGGCAGCCGCCGCAAUGACUUGCAGUGCCAUGUACACUGUGGCACCGAGGGCCACAAAGAAGGACAGGGCGCGCGAUGGCUGGGGCAACACAACCACGGCAUAGACGAUGGUGUGGACAAUGCGGGCAAUGCCCACGGCGCGGAAGAGAUUGACGGCCAGGAAGACGCUGGGGUUCGUCAGCGUGUAGAGCAGGCCAAUGAUGAAAAAGGGCACAAUGUUCUCCAGAUCAUUGCGGUGGGCGCGGCGCACACGCUCCACAUUGGGAUCGUCGAAUUUGACCUUCAGCUUGGGCGACAUCAAGUCCUCGGGAUUGGCA